rnacentral:rRNA from 1 species
GACGAACGCUGGCGGCGGGCUUAACACAUGCAAGUCGAGCGGAAACGCCCUGCGUGUGUGGGGUGCUCGAUUGCCGAACGCGGGAGGAACACGAGAAUAUCCGGCCCUUGAUUUUGGGAGAACAUAAGGAAGGUGGGGCUAAUACCGGAUAGGAGCUCCCGCACCGGGGUGGGGGGGGGAAAGUUGCGGCGGGCGGGGAUGAACGCGCGGCUGAUCAGCUUGUUGGUGGGGUAGGGGAUUACCAAGACAUUGGCGGGUAGCCGGCCUGAGAGGGUGACCGGCAACCUUGGGCCUGCGAUACGGUCCAGCAUCCUAAAGGAGACAACAGUGGGGAAUAUUGCCCAAUGGGCGGACGCAUGAUGAAGCAACUUUCCGUGCGGGAUGACGGUCUUCGGGUUGUAAACCGCUUUAGCCUGUAACGCAGCGUUAGUGACGGUAACGAGAAAAGAAGCACCGGCUAACUACGUG